GAGAAAUGGAGCGGGAGAUGCCAAUUUCUUCUCCUUAGUAACAACUGAUAGAACGUGUGGGAAUCUCACAAAGCUGCACCAAGGGAAAUUCAGACUGGAUAUAUGGAAAGAAUGUCUUAGCCAUGAGGAUGGUCAAACACUGGAACAGCCUUUCUAACUACGUGAUUGAUGUCCUAUGCCUAUCGCAUGUGGAAUUAGUCACAUGGAUGUGGACAGAACGCACAAAGCAGG
rnacentral:lncRNA from 1 species